CGGGCGAGGUCUCUGGUUCAAGUCCAGGAUGGCCCA
rnacentral:tRNA from 1 species